AUUGAACGCUGGCGGCGUGCCUAACACAUGCAAGUCGAGCGGUAACAGGUGUAGCAAUACAUGCUGACGAGCGGCGGACGGGUGAGUAACGCUUGGGAAUCUGCCUAUUAGUGGGGGACAACCCGGGGAAACUCGGGCUAAUACCGCAUACGCUCUACGGAGGAAAGCCGGGGACCGCAAGGCCUGGCGCUAAUAGAUGAGCCCAAGUCAGAUUAGCUAGUUGGUAGGGUAAGGCCUACCAAGGCGACGAUCCGUAACUGGUCUGAGAGGACGACCAGUCACACCGGAACUGAGACACGGUCCGGACUCCUACGGGAGGCAGCAGUGGGGAAUAUUGGACAAUGGGCGAAAGCCUGAUCCAGCGACGCCGCGUGGGUGAAGAAGGCCUGCGGGUUGUAAAGCCCUUUCAGUGGGGAAGAAAAGCCUCGACCUAACACGUCGGGGUCUUGACGUAA
rnacentral:rRNA from 1 species